CGGGUGCACUGAUCCAGCCGGGCCUUUCCCUCUGUGGAACCCCAUGGCCUUCACUGGCUGUGGUGGGGAAACAGGACUUUUACUUUGAAAAAAUUAGAGUGCUCCGGGCAGGCCUAUGCUCGAAUACAUUAGCAUGGAAUAAUAGAAUAGGACGUGUGGUUCUAUUUUGUUGGUUUCUAGGACCGCCGUAAUGAUUAAUAGGGACAGUCGGGGGCAUCAGUAUUCAAUUGUCAGAGGUGAAAUUCUUGGAUCUAUUGAAGACUAACUACUGCGAAAGCAUUUGCCAAGGAUGUUUUCAUUGAUAAGGAACGAAAGUUAGGGGAUCGAAGACGAUCAGAUACCGUCGUAGUCUUAACUAUAAACUAUGCCGACUAGGGAUCGGACGAUGUUAUUCUUUGACGCGUUCGGCACCUUUCGAGAAAUCAAAGUGCUUGGGCUCCAGGGGGAGUAUGGUCGCAAGGCUGAAACUUAAAGAAAUUGACGGAAGGGCACCACCAGGGGUGGAACCUGCGGCUUAAUUUGACUCAACACGGGGAAACUCACCAGGUCCAGACACAGUGAGGAUUGACAGAUUGAGAGCUCUUUCUUGAUUCUGUGGGUGGUGGUGCAUGGCCGUUCUUAGUUGGUGGAGUGAUUUGUCUGCUUAAUUGCGAUAACGAACGAGACCUUAACCUGCUAAAUAGCCCGUACUGCUUUGGCAGUUCGCCGGCUUCUUAGAGGGACUAUCGG
rnacentral:rRNA from 1 species